UACGUAGGGUGCGAGCGUUAAUCGGAAUUACUGGGCGUAAAGCGUGCGCAGGCGGUUAUGCAAGACAGAUGUGAAAUCCCCGGGCUUAACCUGGGAACCGCAUUUGUGACUGCAUAGCUGGAGUACGGCAGAGGGGGAUGGAAUUCCGCGUGUAGCAGUGAAAUGCGUAGAUAUCGAGAGGAACACCUGCGGCGAAGGCGGGUUGCUGGGCUGACACUGACGCUGAGGCGCGAAAGCUAGGGGAGCGAACGGG
rnacentral:rRNA from 1 species